rnacentral:rRNA from 1 species
AGGGGGGUUUGAUCCUGGGCUCAGAUUGAACGCUGGCGGCAUGCCUAACACAUGCAAGUCGAACGGUAACAGGCCGCUUUGAUCCCUUCGGGGUGAUCUUGGCGCUGACGAGUGGCGGACGGGUGAGUAAUGCUUGGGAAUCUGCCCAGUAGUGGGGGACAACACGAGGAAACUCGUGCUAAUACCGCAUACGUCCUACGGGAGAAAGUGGGGGAUCUUCGGACCUCACGCUAUUGGAUGAGCCCAAGUCGGAUUAGCUUGUUGGUGAGGUAAAGGCUCACCAAGGCGACGAUCCGUAGCUGGUCUGAGAGGACGAUCAGCCACACUGGGACUGAGACACGGCCCAGACUCCUACGGGAGGCAGCAGUGGGGAAUAUUGGACAAUGGGGGCAACCCUGAUCCAGCAAUGCCGCGUGUGUGAAGAAGGCCUGCGGGUUGUAAAGCACUUUCAGUAGAGAAGAAAUGCCUGGGGUUAAUAACUCCGGGUCUUGACGUAACCUACAGAAGAAGCACCGGCUAACUCCGUGCCAGCAGCCGCGGUAAUACGGAGGGUGCGAGCGUUAAUCGGAAUUACUGGGCGUAAAGCGCGCGUAGGCGGCUAGGUCAGUCGGAUGUGAAAGCCCCGGGCUCAACCUGGGAAUUGCAUUCGAAACUGCCUGGCUAGAGUAUGGGAGAGGGAAGCGGAAUUUCCGGUGUAGCGGUGAAAUGCGUAGAUAUC